CAGGGAGAGCGUUUUUGCCCUAAUUUCUUUCUUGUCUCUUCCCGAUUUCCAAUUUUGGAGUUUUCAAAGAAGCAUUCAGUUCGAAUCUACGUUUGAGAGGCUUGAUUUCUGCGAUUUGAGUUCUAAUCUCCCUUCAAUAGCCGAUGUGAAUAGAAGAAAUCAGAGCAUGAAGUCAAAGGAGGUCUAGAGGUGGAAAUGGCUGCAAGGUAGGCGAUGAUAAUGGAAGCUUGAUGUUGAUGUGGGAAGAUGAUGCUUGCCAAUACAUGCCCAGCUUGCCCAAAAUGUCUCUAAUCCAAUAUUGCUAGAAGCCUUUGUGAAGGUGUCUGCCAAUUAAUCUUCUGACGGCAUAGUUACUAAUUUCCUCAUCACCUUCUCUCUAACAAAGUGAAAAUCAACUUUAAUAUGUUUUGUCUAUUCAUGGAAGAUUGGAUUGUUGGCAAUAUUAAUGGCAGGUUGAUUAUCAUGGUAAAGAGGAGUGCGGGCCUCAAUUUCUAUUUCUUGCAAAAGAGAUUGAAGCCAUGUGAUCUCACAAGUUGUUUUAGUCAUUUCCCUAUACUUAGCUUCAUCAAAUGAACCACAGUCUACUUCUUGCUUUUUCAUAUCACCAGAUUUCCUCUUAUGGAGGUGUAGAUGUGUAGUAGUUGUUGUUUGACCUCUUGCCAUUUCAAAGAGUAGUUUUGGGUGCAUUUGGACGUCUGCAUAACAGAAGUGUUUGCAUCAACCCAUAAUUGAAAAUGUGUAAAAACUCAUAUGAAGUGCAAUUUCCUUAGGACCUAUUUGGUAGACACAUUUUAGUUCAUCUCUAAUUAUGUAUUAGAGAUUAUGAUGGUUAGUUAUCAUUUAUCAAGAUUAUUUUGUCAAAAAGAAAUAUGAUCCCUAAUACAUAAUUACAAUUAACUAACUUGAGAUGAACUCAUUGCUAGGUGUCUUCCAAACAGCCAGUUUUCAAAUUGAGGGAUUUGACCCUGGAUAUGGAUUGUGAUUUUCAUACUUUCAAGAAUUCAAUUUCCUAGUUUUUACUUUUUAUUUAUUUAUUUAUUUUAUAUUAUGGAAAUUGUUGAUUUUUCUCCAUUCCAAAUCAAGACUACCUGAUGGCAGGAUAUUAACUUUCAGAGAAGUUAUUUGAUACUCUGGCAGAGAAUGGCAAUCCAUAUGCGUGAACAAGGCCACUGUAGGUGCAUAGGUAUGCAAACACAUCAAAUCGCUAGGUUCACACUAGGUGAAGUAUCCAAAAAUUGGA